rnacentral:rRNA from 1 species
UACGUAGGGGGCGAGCGUUGUCCGGAUUUAUUGGGCGUAAAGAGCUCGUAGGCGGUUCGAUAAGUCGGACGUGAAAUCUCCACGCUCAACGUGGAGGGGCCGUUCGAUACUGUCGUGACUCGAGUCCGGUAGGGGAGUGUGGAAUUCCCGGUGUAGCGGUGAAAUGCGCAGAGAUCGGGAGGAACACCAGUGGCGAAGGCGGCCGGCUGGGGGUGAUCUGACGCUGAGGCGCGAAAGCGUGGGGAGCGAACCGG